UACCUUACUGGCAUCCAACACCAUAUGCUCAUCCAACAACCUAACAGUACUGCUUUUCUAACCUCAUACCAAAUUAAAACAUUACUUAAAGGCAUUAAAAAACUAGACACACAUGUUCCCUCACAAAGACAACAACAUCUUCCACUCUCUAUCCAACCUAUUAGAUUCAUCUCCUUUCGAACCCUUGACAAAUAGCACUAUCAAAACAGCACUAUAUCUUGCUUUCUACGGGUUCCUACAGCCUAGCGAAUUC